UACAGAGGGGGCUAGCGUUAUUCGGAAUUAUUGGGCGUAAAGGGCGCGUAGGCGCCAUGCGUGUCUUCCGUGAAAUCCCUCGGCUUAACUGAGGACGUGCGGAAGAAACUGCAAGGCUCGAGUUCCGGGGAGAGGGGGGGUGGAAUUCCCAGUGUAGCGGUGAAAUGCGUAGAUAUUGGGAGGAACACCGGUGGCGAAGGCGGCCCCCUGGACCGGUACUGACGGCUGAGGCACGAAAGCGUGGGGGAGCAAACAGG
rnacentral:rRNA from 1 species